rnacentral:rRNA from 1 species
GUAGUCCACGCUGUAAACGAUGAAUGCUAGAUGUUGGGGGGUUAUCUCUCAGUGUCGUCGCUAACGCAUUAAGCAUUCCGCCUGGGGAGUACGGUCGCAAGAUUAAAACUCAAAGGAAUUGACGGGGGCCUGAACAAGCGGUGGAGUAUGUGGUUUAAUUCGAAGCAACGCGAAAAACCUUACCAGCUCUUGACAUGGGGAUUUGGGGUAUUGGAGACAAUAUCUUUCAGUUCGGCUGGGUCCCACACAGGUGCUGCAUGGCUGUCGUCAGCUCGUGUCGUGAGAUGUUGGGUUAAGUCCCGCAACGAGCGCAACCCUUAUCGUUAGUUGCCAACAGGUUAGGCUGGGGACUCUAACGAGACUGCCGGUGAUAAGCCGGA